CCUACGGGCGUCAGCAGUGGGGAAUAUUGGGCAAUGGGCGAAAGCCUGACCCAGCAACGCCGCGUGAAGGAAGAAGGCUUUCGGGUUGUAAACUUCUUUUGACAGGGAAGAGCAGAAGACGGUACCUGUCGAAUAAGCCACGGCUAAAUACGUGCCAGCAGCCGCGGUAAUACGUAGGUGGCAAGCGUUGUCCGGAUUUACUGGGUUGAAAGGGCGUGUAGCCGGGCUGACAAGUCAGAUGUGAAAUCCGGGGGCUCAACCCCCGAACUGCAUUUGAAACUGUUGGUCUUGAGUAUCGGAGAGGUAAGCGGAACUCCUAGUGUAGCGGUGAAAUGCGUAGAUAUUAGGAGGAACACCAGUGGCGAAGGCGGCUUACUGGACUGUAACUGACGUUGAGGCUCGAAAGCGUGGGGAGCAAACAGGAUUAGAUACCCGUGUAGUC
rnacentral:rRNA from 1 species